GGGGGCGUUCUGGAUUCGACGCCGGUUACGAAACCUGUGGUGCAUGCCGAGAUGGUGACCAAUCUCGUAAAUCCAAAGUCACAAACUUAUAGUUGCCAACGACGACAACUACGCGCUAGCUGCUUAAAAACCAGUGUAGUGCCAUCUGACUGGAGCCGUGCCUGUGCGUCCAGAGUCUUCAGUUCCUCGGGAUUAAAGACGAUCGGGUGUCAUAUUUCAUAGGAUCGUAACGAAACUUGUUCGGGGUAGAGUUACUAAAAAUUUACCGAAAUCGCCAGAUGCACUCCCUGACAGUCGGGUCGCAAAUGGUUAAAUUUAGUAGACUGCUCUAAGCAUGUAGAGCUAUAGGCAGAGGGCUGACGGACGCGGGUUCAAAUCCCGCCGCCUCCACCA
rnacentral:tmRNA from 1 species